rnacentral:tRNA from 1 species
GGUUCUGUGGCCGAGGGGCUAGGCAGAGGUCUGCAAAACCUCCUACACCGGUUCGAAUCCGGUCGGAACCUC